CGUUCGGAAACGGACGCUAAUACCGCAACGUCCUACGGGAGAAAGCAGGGGACCUUCGGGCCUUGCGCUAUCAGAUGAGCCUAGGUCGGAUUAGCUAGUUGGUGGGGUAAUGGCUCACCAAGGCGACGAUCCGUAACUGGUCUGAGAGGAUGAUCAGUCACACUGGAACUGAGACACGGUCCAGACUCCUACGGGAGGCAGCAGUGGGGAAUAUUGGACAAUGGGCGAAAGCCUGAUCCAGCCAUGCCGCGUGUGUGAAGAAGGUCUUCGGAUUGUAAAGCACUUUAAGUUGGGAGGAAGGGCAGUAAAUUAAUACUUUGCUGUUUUGACGUUACCGACAGAAUAAGCACCGGCUAACUCUGUGCCAGCAGCCGCGGUAAUACAGAGGGUGCAAGCGUUAAUCGGAAUUACUGGGCGUAAAGCGCGCGUAGGUGGUUCGUUAAGUUGGAUGUGAAAUCCCCGGGCUCAACCUGGGAACUGCAUUCAAAACUGACGAGCUAGAGUAUGGUAGA
rnacentral:rRNA from 1 species